rnacentral:tmRNA from 1 species
GGGGCCGUUCUUGGAUUCGACGGGGAUAGUUCGAGCAUGAGUAGCGAGUAGUGGGGACGCGUCCGCUUCAUCAACGCUAAAGCCUAUUAAACGGCAAACAACAAAACAACUACGCUUUCGCAGCCUAAGAAACUGUGUGCGUGCUUCUACUCUGCAUCGCCCAUGUGACAGGGAUAGGGGCUAACAAAUAGUGGGAUACGCUGUCUCAUCUCCGCCUGCGGUGAGCUGAAGAAGACAAUCAGGCUGACCCAACGUAUAGCCGGUUACGGGGCG